GAUGAACGCUGGCGGCGUGCCUAAUACAUGCAAGUCGAGCGAACGGACGAGAAGCUUGCUUUUCUGAUGUUAGCGGCGGACGGGUGAGUAACACGUGGAUAACCUACCUAUAAGACUGGGAUAACUUCGGGAAACCGGAGCUAAUGCCGGAUAAUAUUUUGAACCGCAUGGUUCAAAAGUGAAAGACGGUCUUGCUGUCACUUAUAGAUGGAUCCGCGCUGCAUUAGCUAGUUGGUAAGGUAACGGCUUACCAAGGCAACGAUGCAUAGCCGACCUGAGAGGGUGAUCGGCCACACUGGAACUGAGACACGGUCCAGACUCCUACGGGAGGCAGCAGUAGGGAAUCUUCCGCAAUGGGCGAAAGCCUGACGGAGCAACGCCGCGUGAGUGAUGAAGGUCUUCGGAUCGUAAAACUCUGUUAUUAGGGAAGAACAUAUGUGUAAGUAACUGUGCACAUCUUGACGGUACCUAAUCAGAAAGCCACGGCUAACUACGUG
rnacentral:rRNA from 1 species